rnacentral:rRNA from 1 species
UACAGUUGUUGCAGUUAAAACGCUCGCAGUUGAAUUUCGGGGUUAGUAGGUUGGUCGUGCCACUGGUAUGUACUGGCUUUACUGAUUCCUCCUUCUUGAAGAACUGUAAUGUCAUUAAUUUGAUGUUGCAGGGAAACAGGACUGUUAUUUUGAAAAAAUUAGAGUGUUUAAAGCAGGCUAACGCUUGAAUACAUUAGCAUGGAAUAAUGAAAUAGGACGUUUGAUCCUAUUUUGUUGGUUUCUAGGAUUGACGUAAUGAUUAAUAGGG